rnacentral:rRNA from 1 species
CGCAGGCUGCAACCCGCCUGCGUGAAGUUGGAAUUGCUAGUAAUCGCGGAUCAGCAUGCCGCGGUGAAUACGUUCCCGGGCCUUGUACACACCGCCCGUCACACCAUGAGAGUCGGGAACACCCGAAGUCCGUAGUCUAACCGCAAGGAGGGCGCGGCCGAAGGUGGGUUCGAUAAUUGGGGUGAAGUCGUAACAAGGUAGC